rnacentral:rRNA from 1 species
GACGAACGCUGGCGGCGUGCUUAACACAUGCAAGUCGAACGGAAAGGCCCCUUUGGGGGUACUCGAGUGGCGAACGGGUGAGUAACACGUGAGUAACCUGCCCUUGACUUCGGGAUAACUUCAGGAAACUGGGGCUAAUACCGGAUAGGAAUCCUUGCUGCAUGGUGGGGGUUGGAAAGCUUCGGCGGUUUUGGAUGGACUCGCGGCUUAUCAGCUUGUUGGUGGGGUAGUGGCUUACCAAGGCUUUGACGGGUAGCCGGCCUGAGAGGGCGACCGGCCACAUUGGGACUGAGAUACGGCCCAGACUCCUACGGGAGGCAGCAGUGGGGAAUAUUGCACAAUGGGCGGAAGCCUGAUGCAGCAACGCCGCGGGCGGGAGGACGGACUUCGGGUUGUAAACCGCUUUCAGCAGGGGCGAAGCUUGUGGUGACGGUACCUGCAGAAGAAGCACCGGCUAACUACGUG